GUUAAAUUCCAGGAAGAGUUUUGUAGGUGGAUCAUUUGACAAGGAAACAAAAUCUCAGACUUUGAGAAACUAGUUCAGCAUCUCUUCAUGGUUGUUUCCAGAGGCAAGGCUAUGUGACAGAAUUUCCUACAGACGUAAAGUGUUUGGAUGAGCCAUAUUAUUGCCUUUUGUUCUGAAGAAAUACCCUAUGUGGAAGUGAUUUUGACUGGCAUACACCAGUGAGAAACAUGGCCGGUCAAGAUACAGGACAAAUAUUAAAGUACUUCACAGGAAUCA